rnacentral:rRNA from 1 species
AUUACAGCCACCACACGACCUGUUCUCCCCCAAAUCGAACCCUCCCUAGACCUCCUCCUCAACCGCCGCCGCCGCCCCCUCUGCCGUUGACCACGCCCUCCGCCACCACCCCUUUGGCUGACCUGUGCGACCCCAUCGGGAUCUAUGGCGGCGGUGCUUGGAUCUCGGCGCCGCCUCCCUCGAUACGCCUCUGAUGUGCGAGGUUGUCGUCGCCUCCCUCCCUUCGACACCACCACCAGAACUGGUCGACGAUGCCGGUCGCCUCCAUCUCUUCCUUACGGUCCAUCACGCCGACGAGCAUAGGCGGACUCCCCACCGUGGCUUCCUCCCCGCCAACGGCGAGCGUGGUGUCCCAUCUCCACUAUACUGGUACAAUACUUUCCUCAGAUCCGUCUUGGUGGAAAUCCGAUGCAGGUGCUAUUAGUGAAAGGAUUGGAGAGUGGUUCUAGCAGUGGUUGGUUUGUUCGAGGAAUUCCUGGUGCUCGUGAUUUGUAAAGGGUUUCAGCCAGGGCAAGUAAUUAUCAGCUGAGCAAAGGCUACAACAUGCUAGGAGGAGAAGUUUGAAUGGAGGCAGAGAGUACACUUGAUGAUGUGCCAGAAGGAAAACAAAAGGCAACGAUGAGAAGGAAAACAAACGGCAAUCUACUUACAUCUGACGUGUUAAUUCGAAUGUGCCAAAAAUUUCUCUUUUCAGGAAAUAGAAUGGAAAAAGGAAGAGGAGAGAAUGCUGAAGCACAAGAGCGAGAGGCUAGCGGAAGUUAAAGCAAUAAACUAUAAGCAUUUUGAAUGAUUAGGGCCUCGUGUCGUUGGGAACAUUACAACCAUGGGGAAAGCUAAUUUUGGUUGCUAGUUUAGCAUAGAAGCCACUAUAUGCUCAUUUUGGUCGUGUGUCGCAUCAAAAAACAUAUGUAAUUUUCCUUUUGUUGCACAACACCCUUGUAUAUGGGCGUUUCUAGAAGCAUAUGUAUUUGGUCGUUAAUUUUAUUGAGUGAAGAUAAGUUUUACGAUGAGGCCCAUAUGUGAAUUAUGAAAUAGUGUCAUUUGUCUUGAUUGCCAAGAC